AUUGAACGCUGGCGGCAUGCUUUACACAUGCAAGUCGAACGGUAACAGGCCGCAAGGUGCUGACGAGUGGCGAACGGGUGAGUAAUGCAUCGGAACGUGCCCAGAGGUGGGGGAUAGCCCGGCGAAAGCCGGAUUAAUACCGCAUACGACCUACGGGUGAAAGCGGGGGAUCGCAAGACCUCGCGCCAUUGGAGCGGCCGAUAUCAGAUUAGGUAGUUGGUGGGGUAAAGGCCUACCAAGCCAACGAUCUGUAGCUGGUCUGAGAGGACGACCAGCCACACUGGGACUGAGACACGGCCCAGACUCCUACGGGUGGCAG
rnacentral:rRNA from 1 species